AGCGAACGCUGGCGGCAGGCCUAACACAUGCAAGUCGAACGAACCUUUCGGGGUUAGUGGCGGACGGGUGAGUAACACGUGGGAACGUGCCUUUAGGUUCGGAAUAACUCAGGGAAACUUGUGCUAAUACCGAAUGUGCCCUUCGGGGGAAAGAUUUAUCGCCUUUAGAGAGGCCCGCGUCUGAUUAGCUAGUUGGUUGAGGUAAUGGCUCACCAAGGCGACGAUCAGUAGCUGGUCUGAGAGGAUGAUCAGCCACAUUGGGACUGAGACACGGCCCAAACUCCUACGGGAGGCAGCAGUGGGGAAUCUUGCGCAAUGGGCGAAAGCCUGACGCAGCCAUGCCGCGUGAAUGAUGAAGGUCUUAGGAUUGUAAAAUUCUUUCACCGGGGACGAUAAUGACGGUACCCGGAGAAGAAGCCCCGGCUAACUUCGUG
rnacentral:rRNA from 1 species